rnacentral:rRNA from 1 species
AGCUAAUAGAUACCCGGGUAGUCCACGCCCUAAACGAAUGUCAACUAGUUGUUGGAGCACAAGUGGCUUUGGUAAACGCAGCUAAACGCGCGAAGUUGACCGCCUGGGGAGUACGGUCGCAAGAUUAAAACUCAAAGGAAUUGACGGGGACCCGCACAAGCGGUGGAUGAUGUGGAUUAACUCGAUGCAACGCGAAAAACCUUACCUACCCUUGACAUGGUUCGAAUCUUUCAGAGAUGAGAGAGUGCUCGCAAGAGAACGGACACACAGGUGCUGCAUGGCUGUCGUCAGCUCGUGUCGUGAGAUGUUGGG